rnacentral:tRNA from 1 species
GCCUGGGUGGCUCAGUGGUUGAGCAUCUGUCUUUGGCUCAGGUCCUGGUCCCGGGGUCCUGGGAUCGAGUCCCACAUCGGGCU